rnacentral:rRNA from 1 species
UAGGGAAUCUUCGGCAAUGGACGAAAGUCUGACCGAGCAACGCCGCGCGAGUGAAGAAGGUUUUCGGAUCGUAAAACUCUGUUGUUAGAGAAGAACAAGGACGUUAGUAACUGAACGUCCCCUGACGGUAUCUAACCAGAAAGCCACGGCUAACUACGUGCCAGCAGCCGCGGUAAUACGUAGGUGGCAAGCGUUGUCCGGAUUUAUUGGGCGUAAAGCGAGCGCAGGCGGUUUCUUAAGUCUGAUGUGAAAGCCCCCGGCUCAACCGGGGAGGGUCAUUAGAAACUGGGAGACUUGAAUGGAAGAGAGGAGAGUGGAAUUCCGUGUGUAGCGGUGAAAUGCGUAGAUAUAUGGAGGAACACCAGUGGCGAAGGCGGCUCUCUGGUCUGUAACUGACGCUGAGGCUCGAGAGCGUGGGGAGCAAACAGG